rnacentral:rRNA from 1 species
GACGAACGCUGGCGGCGUGCUUAAUACAUGCAAGUCGAGCGAGGCCUUGGAAUUGGAGUCCUUCGGGAUGAAGAGUCCUUGGCCUAGCGGCGGACGGGUGAGUAACGCGUGGGCAACCUACCCCAAAGUCCGGGAUAACAGUGGGAAACCGCUGCUAAUACCGGAUGGCUUUACCUGAGGGCAUCCUUGGGUAAAGAAAGGUUACGCUUUGGGAUGGGCCCGCGUCCCAUUAGCUAGUUGGUGAGGUAACGGCUCACCAAGGCGACGAUGGGUAGCCGGCCUGAGAGGGUGAACGGCCACACUGGGACUGAGACACGGUCCAGACUCCUACGGGAGGCAGCAGUGAGGAAUAUUGCGCAAUGGGGGCAACCCUGACGCAGCAACGCCGCGUGAGUGAGGAAGGUUUUCGGACUGUAAAGCUCUGUCGAGCGGGAAGAAGUGUACCAUGGCUAAUAUCCAUGAUAUUUGACGGUACCGCUAGAGGAAGCACCGGCUAACUCCGUGCCAGCAGCCG